UGAACCUAUACCAUCCUGAUCCUAUGUGACCUCUUCUGAUCUAGGAAGCUAAGCAGGGCUGGGCCUGAUUAGUAAUUGGAUGGAACGCUGACUAAGAAUACUUUUUUGGAUUCAU
rnacentral:rRNA from 1 species